GCUUUGUACUCUCAAAAAUUCGCUUACGAAGGCAUCACACUUACUUUUGAAGACAUCUCAAAUUGAACCUUGCCGGAACUACUAGACAGGCAUUCACAGUAGAAAAAAAGAAAUACAAUGGAACCCAUGAAAACUGCACACAAAGACCGACAAUCAAUGUGCUAAAGAAGAGAAACUGUGCAAAUACGAAAAAGACAAAGAAAUCAAAUAACCAUUAUAACAAUAAAUAAGUAAUGCAGAGAGCAUGAAUGGAUGGAAUCAGUUGAGUGUUGGGCUUCUCUGAGUUGGAAGAGAAAGAUAGAAUACCACAUGAUGAUCUUCAAGUACACUGCACCCACUGGGUGGGCUGCAUAAAGACAUUCAGAGAGAUUUCAGGAUCUUCUCUCGAUCUGAAUUCCAGAUUAAUAAAUCUGUUCCUGAACACUUGCAAGGGAGAACUAACAGGAAGGACAAAGGAAGAGCUGAUCUCACUAUAAAAUCACCGAGCUGUAACCAAGGUUCAAAAAAUCAUAUCAAGACUUUUAGCUACAGAAAGAUGUCUCCAAGAGCUGUCCUGCAUGGUGGAAAAGGUCAAGAUGUUCUUUAUUGCCUUUCCAGCAUCAUAUUUAGUGGAGGGCAGUUUCAGUGUGGUCACCCAACUUCUUUCAAAGCAACAAAACAGACUGCAAAUCGCCGAAUAUGGAGGCCUGAGAUUCCUUCUGAGUGGCAUUCACCCUGACGUUGAGAGGCUGGGAUCACUGCACCAAACCCGUCCAUCUCACUGACGGUGAAAAAGCAAUGCACUCUGAACAGUUGGACUUCACUCUCUAAAAUGUUGACAAAUGUUUCUGCUCUAUUUAAAUAAAGAAAUUAGUUUCUUUGUAGCUUUAAAUAGAGAUGAUUAAUUUUUGAAAUUAUUUGUAACUGCUUUGAACUUGCUUGCCCUAUUUUCUUUACCUGAGCACUGUAACUCAAAAUUCUUUAUAGUUUUUAUAUAAUGGCCAGAAAGGGAGAGGGGGAACACUGGGGAUGUGGUCUGGGAGCCAAGGACAUGGUAACCUGAACAAGUUUGUGAACCACUGGUGUAGAGGGAUAUGGGCUAAACAUGGUAGCUUAGAUUAGCUUAGAUGAGAAUCUUGGACUAGUUGGGCUGAAGGGCCUAUUUCCAUACUAUACUGUGUAGACCUGUUUUAGUAUUGUGUGAUUGCGUGACUAAAAGGGAGCAGGUGAAUAGCUCUUACAGAGAGUUAAAUGCCGGGUCCUGUUUAAUUUAAUGUAAUGGAACUUUUUUCUGUUAUAAGUUAGAAAUAGAUUGUCAUAUAUUGCACCCAGAGGCUCAUAGACUGCUUUGGUUGUGAUAUAUGAUCUAGGGUCUGGAAUGGGUAUCAGGAAAUAUCUUCUGGCAGUACUGUCGACUGUGCAUUUUCUCAGAGUCACCAAUAAGCUCCACCUAUGUGUCCUUGUGCAGGCACGCUUUGCUCUCUCCUGGAUGGAGAGGGGGACUCCUAUUUUGAUUUUUAUUCAGAGAUACGGCAUGAUAACAGGCCCUCCUGACCCAACAAGCCUAUGCUAGCUAAUUACGCCCAUGUAACCGAUUAACCUACUAACCCGUACGUCCUUGGAACGGAACCAGAGCACCUGGAGGAAAUCCCCAUGGUCUCAAAGAAAACGUACAGACUCCUUGCAGAGACUGUUGAGAGUUAAAGCCGGAUCAUCAUUUCUGGAAUAGUGGUAUGUUAUCCACGACUCUACUGUGCUACUCCAUAAUCCCAUGGAUGAGGGAAAACAUACAGACUCCUUACAAACAGUCAACACGAGGAAAUCUGCAGAUGCUGGAAAUUCAAACAACACACACAAAAUGUUGGUGGAACACAGCAGGCCAGGCAGCAUCUAUAACUGUCCGAGACCCUUCGUCAGGACUGUCCUUACAGACAGUGACGGUAUUGGAGCCAGGUCACUGGCACUGCAUUAGCCACACUAGCUGCUACACUACUGUGCCACCACAGACUGACUUGGAGCUGUUCGAUCAUUCAGCCACCACUGGUCGCUUUGCACCUUUGGCUCUUCGGACAAGCACAUGCACUAAAUAUCGGAACCGGAGGUUCCUCUUGUACUGAGCAGGUUAACUAUUGCAACAACAACAGACUCAGUGCCAGAGAUUUGACCAUUGUGACUUUCCUCUGUUGGGUCAUUCCCCCUCCCCAGUCAUAUCUAAAGUGAUAUACCUGUUGUUGAGGGGAAUGGCCACAGGGGUACUCUGCACUAGCUCCUUAAACCCUUCCCCUUCCUUUCAAGAUUAACUUAAUUUGUCGCAUUUUCAUUGAAACAUCGAAACAUACAGUAAGCCGCAUCACUGUCCGAUAGAGCCGGAAUACGAGCUGGGGGCAGCUUGCAAGUGUUACCAGCAGAGCACGCCACGAUGUAGUAAUCGGUACGGCUUUGGGGUGUGGGAACACUGGAGCGAAGGAGAAGUGCGACCUGCUUACAGUGAGUGGCAGGAAUUGAAGGCUGGCUGUUGAAACCAGAGCACCAUCAGCUGUGGGGAAAAUGCGGAGGGAUUUGCUGCCCUGAUAAAGGGUUUCAGAGGAGGGCUGUCAGAGUUUACAGCGGGACAUCCAUAGGUUGUAGAACUGGGCUGAGAAGUGGAAGAUGGAGCUCAACCCGGAUAAGUAUGAGGUGGUUCAUCUUGGUAAGUCUAAUAUGAUGGCAGAAUAGAGUAUUGAUGGUAAGACUCUUGGCAGUGUGGAGGAUCAGAGGGAUCUUGGGGUCCGAGUCCAUAGGACGCUCAAAGCUGCUGCGCAGGUUAACUCUGUGGUUAAGAAGGCGUAUGGUGCAUUGGCCUUCAUCAAUUGUGGGAUUGAGUUUAAGAGCCGAGAGGUAAUGUUGCAGCUAUAUCGGACCCUGGUCAGACCCCACUUGGAGUACUGUGCUCAGUUCCGGUCGCCUCACUACGGGAAGGAUGAGGAAACCAUAGAAAGGGUGCAGAGGAGAUUUACAAGGAUGUUGCCUGGAUUGGGGAGCAUGCCUUAUGAGAACAGGUUGAGUGAACUCGGCCUUUUCUCCUUGGAGCGGCAGAGGAUGAGAGGUGACCUGAUAGAGGUGUACAAGAUAAUGAGAGGCAUUGAUCGUGUGGAUAAUCAGAGGCUUUUUUCCCAGGGCCGAAAUGGCUAACACAAGAAGGCACAAUUUUAAGGUGCUUAGAAGUAGCUACAGAGGAGAUGUCGGGGUAAGUUUUUUACACAAAGAGUGGUGAGUGUGAGGAAUGGGCU